rnacentral:rRNA from 1 species
GACGAACGCUGGCGGCGUGCUUAACACAUGCCAGUCGAACGGAAAGGCCCUGCUUUUGUGGGGUGCUCGAGUGGCGAACGGGUGAGUAACACGUGAGUAACCUGCCCUUGACUUUGGGAUAACUUCAGGAAACUGGGGCUAAUACCGGAUAGGAGCUCCUGCUGCAUGGUGGGGGUUGGAAAGUUUCGGCGGUUGGGGAUGGACUCGCGGCUUAUCAGCUUGUUGGUGGGGUAGUGGCUUACCAAGGCUUUGACGGGUAGCCGGCCUGAGAGGGUGACCGGCCACAUUGGGACUGAGAUACGGCCCAGACUCCUACGGGAGGCAGCAGUGGGGAAUAUUGCACAAUGGGCGGAAGCCUGAUGCAGCAACGCCGCGUGCGGGAUGACGGCCUUCGGGUUGUAAACCGCUUUCGCCUGUGACGAAGCGUGAGUGACGGUAAUGGGUAAAGAAGCACCGGCUAACUACGU